GGGGAAUAUUGCACAAUGGGGGAAACCCUGAUGCAGCAACGCCGCGUGAGUGAAGAAGGUCUUCGGAUCGUAAAGCUCUGUCUUUGGGGACGAUAAUGACGGUACCCAAAGAGGAAGCCACGGCUAACUACGUGCCAGCAGCCGCGGUAAUACGUAGGUGGCAAGCGUUGUCCGGAAUUAUUGGGCGUAAAGGAUGCGUAGGCGGAUAUGUAAGUCAGAUGUGAAAUACCCGAGCUCAACUUGGGUACUGCAUUUGAAACUGCAUGUCUAGAGUGCGGGAGAGGAAAGUGGAAUUCCUAGUGUAGCGGUGAAAUGCGUAGAGAUUAGGAAGAACACCAGUGGCGAAGGCGACUUUCUGGACCGUAACUGACGCUGAGGCAUGAAAGCGUGGGUAGCAAAC
rnacentral:rRNA from 1 species